GACGAACGCUGGCGGCGUGCCUAAUACAUGCAAGUAGAACGCUGAAGAGAGGAGCUUGCUCUUCUUGGAUGAGUUGCGAACGGGUGAGUAACGCGUAGGUAACCUGCCUUGUAGCGGGGGAUAACUAUUGGAAACGAUAGCUAAUACCGCAUAACAAUGGAUGACACAUGUCAUUUAUUUGAAAGGGGCAAUUGCUCCACUACAAGAUGGACCUGCGUUGUAUUAGCUAGUAGGUGAGGUAACGGCUCACCUAGGCGACGAUACAUAGCCGACCUGAGAGGGUGAUCGGCCACACUGGGACUGAGACACGGCCCAGACUCCUACGGGAGGCAGCAGUAGGGAAUCUUCGGCAAUGGGGGCAACCCUGACCGAGCAACGCCGCGUGAGUGAAGAAGGUUUUCGGAUCGUAAAGCUCUGUUGUAAGUCAAGAACGAGUGUGAGAGUGGAAAGUUCACACUGUGACGGUAGCUUACCAGAAAGGGACGGCUAACUACGUGCCAGCAGCCGCGGUAAUACGUAGGUCCCGAGCGUUGUCCGGAUUUAUUGGGCGUAAAGCGAGCGCAGGCGGUUUGAUAAGUCUGAAGUUAAAGGCUGUGGCUCAACCAUAGUUCGCUUUGGAAACUGUCAAACUUGAGUGCAGAAGGGGAGAGUGGAAUUCCAUGUGUAGCGGUGAAAUGCGUAGAUAUAUGGAGGAACACCGGUGGCGAAAGCGGCUCUCUGGUCUGUAACUGACGCUGAGGCUCGAAAGCGUGGGGAGCGAACAGGAUUAGAUACCCUGGUAGUCCACGCCGUAAACGAUGAGUGCUAGGUGUUGGAUCCUUUCCGGGAUUCAGUGCCGCAGCUAACGCAUUAAGCACUCCGCCUGGGGAGUACGACCGCAAGGUUGAAACUCAAAGGAAUUGACGGGGGCCCGCACAAGCGGUGGAGCAUGUGGUUUAAUUCGAAGCAACGCGAAGAACCUUACCAGGUCUUGACAUCCCGAUGCUAUUUCUAGAGAUAGAAAGUUACUUCGGUACAUCGGUGACAGGUGGUGCAUGGUUGUCGUCAGCUCGUGUCGUGAGAUGUUGGGUUAAGUCCCGCAACGAGCGCAACCCCUAUUGUUAGUUGCCAUCAUUCAGUUGGGCACUCUAGCGAGACUGCCGGUAAUAAACCGGAGGAAGGUGGGGAUGACGUCAAAUCAUCAUGCCCCUUAUGACCUGGGCUACACGCGUGCUACAAUGGUUGGUACAACGAGUUGCGAGUCGGUGACGGCAAGCUAAUCUCUUAAAGCCAAUCUCAGUUCGGAUUGUAGGCUGCAACUCGCCUACAUGAAGUCGGAAUCGCUAGUAAUCGCGGAUCAGCACGCCGCGGUGAAUACGUUCCCGGGCCU
rnacentral:rRNA from 1 species